rnacentral:rRNA from 1 species
UACGUAGGGGGCAAGCGUUGUCCAGAUUUAUUGGGCGUAAAGAGCUCGUAGGUGGUUCGGUAAGUCGGAUGUGAAAUCUCCAGGCUCAACCUGGAGGGGUCAUUCGAUACUGCCGUGACUAGAGGUCGGUAGGGGAGUGUGGAAUUCCUGGUGGAGCGGUGAAAUGCGCAGAUAUCAGGAGGAACACCCGUAGCGAAGGCGGCACUCUGGGCCAUAACUGACGCUGAGGAGCGAAAGCGUGGGGAGCGAACAGG